rnacentral:rRNA from 1 species
GGCUCUUUGAUAAAAAAUAAUAGAGAGUCGAGCCUGCCCAAUGACAUGUUUGUUUAAUGGCCGCGGUACCCUGACCGUGCGAAGGUAGCAUAAUCAUUUGUCUUUUAAUUGAAGACUAGAAUGAAUGGUUUGACGAAAAUAGAGCUGUCUUUUUUUUAUUAAUUAGAAAUUUGUCUUAAAGUGAAGAAACUUUAAUUUAUGUAAAAGACAAGAAGACCCUGUUGAGCUUAAAUAAGGUAGAUUAGAUAGGCUUAUAGGAUUAGAUAGUUUAAAAUGAUUUAAAAAUAUUUUGGUUGGGGCGACUUAGGAAUAAAAAAAUCUUCCUUUAGUAUAUAGUAAGAAGUAUAAAGUGAUCCGACAUUGUCGAUUGAAAGAAAUAGCUACCACAGGGAUAACAGCGUAAUUUUUUUAAAGAGUUCAAAUCGAAAAAAAAGUUUGCGACCUCGAUGUUGGAUUGAGAUUUCUAGAGGGUGCAGUCGCU